UACGUAGGGUGCGAGCGUUAAUCGGAAUUACUGGGCGUAAAGCGUGCGCAGGCGGUUCUCCAAGUCCGGUGUGAAAGCCCCGGGCUCAACCUGGGAACUGCAUUUGUGACUGUAGAGCUGGAGUGCGGCAGAGGGGGAUGGAAUUCCGCGUGUAGCAGUGAAAUGCGUAGAUAUGCGGAGGAACACCGAUGGCGAAGGCAAUCCCCUGGGCCUGCACUGACGCUCAUGCACGAAAGCGUGGGGAGCAAACAGG
rnacentral:rRNA from 1 species